rnacentral:rRNA from 1 species
GACGAAUGCUGGCGGCGUGCUUAACACAUGCAAGUCGAACGGUGAACAGGAGCUUGCUCCUGGGAUCAGUGGCGAACGGGUGAGUAACACGUGGGCAACCUGCCCCUCACUCUGGGAUAACUCCGGGAAACCGGGGCUAAUACCGGAUACGACCUGGAGCGACAUCUCUCCAGGUGGAAAGAACUUCGGUGAGGGAUGGGCCCGCGGCCUAUCAGCUAGUUGGGGGGGUAACGGCCUACCAAGGCGACGACGGGUAGCCGGCCUGAGAGGGCGACCGGCCACACUGGGACUGGGACACGGCCCAGACUCCUACGGGAGGCAGCAGUGGGGAAUAUUGCGCAAUGGGCGAAAGCCGGACGCAGCGACGCCGCGUGGGGGACGACGGCCUUCGGGUUGUAAACCUCUUUCAGCAGGGACGAAGCGAAAGUGACGGUACCUGCAGAAGAAGCACCGGCUAACUACGUGCCAGCCGCCGCGGUAAUAC